UCCUUGGAACAGGACGUCACAGAGGGUGAGAAUCCCGUGCGAUGAGAUGCCCAAUUCUAUGUAAAGUGCUUUCGAAGAGUCGAGUUGUUUGGGAAUGCAGCUCUAAGUGGGUGGUAAAUUCCAUCUAAAGCUAAAUAUUGGCGAGAGACCGAUAGCGAACAAGUACAGUGAUGGAAAGAUGAAAAGAACUUUGAAAAGAGAGUGAAAAAGUACGUGAAAUUGUUGAAAGGGAAGGGCUUGAGAUCAGACUUGGUAUUUUGCGAUCCUUUCCUUCUUGGUUGGGUUCCUCGCAGCUUACUGGGCCAGCAUCGGUUUGGAUGGUAGGAUAAUGACUAAGGAAUGUGGCUCUACUUCGGUGGAGUGUUAUAGCCUUGGUUGAUACUGCCUGUCUAGACCGAGGACUGCGUCUUUUGACUAGGAUGUUGGCAUAAUGAUCUUAAGCCACCCGUCUUGAAACACGGACCAAGGAGUCUAACGUCUAUGCGAGUGUUUGGGUGUAAAACCCGUACGCGUAAUGAAAGUGAACGUAGGUGAGAGCUCUUAAGAGUGCAUCAUCGACCGAUCCUGAUGUCUUCGGAUGGAUUUGAGUAAGAGCAUAGCUGUUGGGACCCGAAAGAUGGUGAACUAUGCCUGAAUAGGGUGAAGCCAGAGGAAACUCUGGUGGAGGCUCGUAGCGGUUCUGACGUGCAAAUCGAUCGUCGAAUUUGGGUAUAGGGGCG
rnacentral:rRNA from 1 species